UGAGCUCGGAUCAGGUAGGGAUACCCGCUGAACUUAAGCAUAUCAAUAAGCCGGAGGA
rnacentral:rRNA from 1 species